rnacentral:rRNA from 1 species
UGCAAGCAGCCGCGGUAAUACGGAGGAUUCAGGCGUUAUCCGGAUUUAUUGGGUUUAAAGGGUGCGCAGGCGGGACGAUAAGUCAGUGGUGAAAUCCUACAGCUUAACUGUAGAACUGCCAUUGAUACUGUUGUUCUUGAGUACAGUUGAGGUAGGCGGAAUGUGUCAUGUAGCGGUGAAAUGCUUAGAUAUGACACAGAACACCGAUUGCGAAGGCAGCUUACUAAACUGUUACUGACGCUGAGGCACGACAGCGUGGGGAGCGAACAGGAUUAGAUA